AACGAACGCUGGCGGCAGGCCUAAUACAUGCAAGUCGAGCGCGCCCUUCGGGGUGAGCGGCGGACGGGUGAGUAACGCGUGGGAAUAUGCCCUUCUCUAAGGAAUAGCCUCUGGAAACGGAGAGUAAUACCUUAUACGCCCUUUGGGGGAAAGAUUUAUCGGAGAAGGAUUAGCCCGCGUUAGAUUAGGUAGUUGGUGGGGUAAUGGCCUACCAAGCCUACGAUCUAUAGCUGGUUUGAGAGGAUGAUCAGCCACACUGGGACUGAGACACGGCCCAGACUCCUACGGGAGGCAGCAGUAGGGAAUCUUAGACAAUGGGGGCAACCCUGAUCUAGCCAUGCCGCGUGUGUGAUGAAGGCCCUAGGGUCGUAAAGCACUUUCGCCAGAGAUGAUAAUGACAGUAUCUGGUAAAGAAACCCCGGCUAACUCCGUGCCAGCAGCCGCGGUAAUACGGAGGGGGCUAGCGUUGUUCGGAAUUACUGGGCGUAAAGCGCUCGUAGGCGGAUUAGUAAGUUAGAGGUGAAAUCCCAGGGCUCAACCCUGGAACUGCCUUUAAUACUGCUAGUCUUGAGUUCGAGAGAGGUAAGUGGAAUUCCGAGUGUAGAGGUGAAAUUCGUAGAUAUUCGGAGGAACACCAGUGGCGAAGGCGGCUCACUGGCUCU
rnacentral:rRNA from 1 species